rnacentral:lncRNA from 1 species
UUUUCUCUAUUUUUUCUCUAUUUUUACUGAAAUCUUGGCCUAAUUGAUGGUACAUGCAAACCAUGCUUUCUAAAUAUAAUUAGGACAUGGAUCUGCUCUGAAAAUUUCACUGAUUUAAUUCCCCUCCGUAUAUGAUUAUUAGUUUUGAAUCUAUAUAGAAUAGAUUAGUGGAUUGAAAUAGUAGUCUAAUUCAAUUUCUUUUUUCAUUGCAUCCACUUAAUUUCAAUCAAGUCAAAAUAAAAAAAAUCGAAGACAAUUCUUGACCAAGAAUCUAUGGAGGGAGAAAAAAAUUAAUAUUAAGAAUAGACUAUAUAUAAUAAAAAAGUAUAUAGUAAAAUAUAGUAAAAAAGGUAUAUAGUAAAAAGGAAAAAACCAGCGAACCUUUCAUGCUUAAACAUGCCGCGAGAUACUUCAAAAGAGCAGCAAAAUUAUGCUAAGAAAAGGAAAGAUUAUAAAAAAAAAGGGAAAAUGUAUGAUAUGUCGUGAAUAGCUCCGUGGAAUAAAAUAGAAUUUCCUUUUAGUUUAUCAUUUUUCCGGAUCUAUUUUUUGAUCCGAUUGGACUUGAUC